rnacentral:rRNA from 1 species
CAGCAGCCGCGGUACUACGAAGGGGGCUAGCGUUGUUCGGAAUUACUGGGCGUAAAGGGCGCGUAGGCGGCCAUUCAAGUUAGAUGUGAAAGCCCUGGGCUCAACCUAGGAAUUGCAUUUGAUACUGUUUGGCUUGAGUUCGGGAGAGGUGAGUGGAAUUCCCAGUGUAGAGGUGAAAUUCGUAGAUAUUGGGAAGAACACCAGUGGCGAAGGCGGCUCACUGGACCGACACUGACGCUGAGGCGCGAAAGCGUGGGGAGCAAACAGGAUUAGAUACCCCAGUAGUCCCUGUCUCUUAACA